rnacentral:rRNA from 1 species
UACGUAGGGGGCUAGCGUUGUCCGGAAUCAUUGGGCGUAAAGAGCGUGUAGGCGGUCCGGUAAGUCCGCUGUGAAAGUCGGGGGCUCAACCCUCGAAUGCCGGUGGAUACUGUCGGGCUAGAGUGCGGAAGAGGCGAGUGGAAUUCCUGGUGUAGCGGUGAAAUGCGUAGAUAUCAAGAGGAACACCUGAGGUGAAGACGGGUUGCUGGGCUGACACUGACGCUGAGGCGCGAAAGCCAGGGGAGCAAACGGG